rnacentral:rRNA from 1 species
UACGGAGGGGGCUAGCGUUGUUCGGAAUUACUGGGCGUAAAGUGCACGUAGGCGGCUUUGCAAGUUAGAGGUGAAAGCCCGGGGCUCAACUCCGGAAUUGCCUUUAAAACUGCAUCGCUAGAAUUGUGGAGAGGUAAGUGGAAUUCCGAGUGUAGAGGUGAAAUUCGUAGAUAUUCGGAAGAACACCAGUGGCGAAGGCGACUUACUGGACACAUAUUGACGCUGAGGUGCGAAAGCGUGGGGAGCAAACAGGG